GACGAACGCUGGCGGCGUGCCUAAUACAUGCAAGUCGAACGCAGUGGGGACGGGUGAGUAACACGUGGGUAACCUCCCAUCAGAGGGGAUAACACUUGGAAACAGGUGCUAAACCGAUACUGAUGGAUGGACCCGCGGUGCAUUAGCUAGUUGGUGAGGUAACGGCUCACCAAGGCCACGAUGCAUAGAUGACCUGAGAGGGUAUUGGGCGAAACGUGGGAUGUGAAACGGCGCAAGAGCGUACGGUCGGGAGCCGGAGAGAAGGUGGGGGUACGGCCGAAGUUCAGCCCGAUGGACGGCGCGUCAGUUAAGCAGUUAUUAAGAUCUCAAAACUUUGUUGUUAUAGCGACGGUCUCUUAUUAGAAAGCCACGGCUGACUACGUGCCAGCCGCCGCGGUAAUAC
rnacentral:rRNA from 1 species